UGUAAGACAGUAUUAACAACAGUUAAGUGCAAAGACAAGUAAAGACAAAGGAAAGCAACAAUUUAUCAAACAGUUUACAAUAGUUGCUCGAAAGAGUGAUCACCAACAGCGAUACAAGAUUCACAGCGGUGGCACAUAGAUUGGCGUACAUUAGUAAAAACUUCAGGCGUGUCACGAAGCGCAUGUUCACGCCAGCGAAGCGCUUUCAUCCGUCGAACUCAACAGCGCACUCUCGCGGUAUUUCCGCAUCCACAUCAAGGUUACUAUAUACUGUGCCAGGUUAUCUCGUUAGACAGCCGCGCUCGGAAGAACACGUGGGACGACGAGAAUUGUUCGACUUUUGAUUGAAUACGGGAUAUGUGUUUGUAGGCAUUUGCCGGUAUUUGGACUUUAUUUGGAAGUUAUUUCUUCAAAUAGUGCUGAAAUUAAAGUAAAAGUUGUUGAAGUGCAGCUUAUAUUUGUCAACCAGUCAGCAAUGUACAGGUAGUAUACAGGUAUCUAUAAUUUUCUCUCUCGCUUCCGUAGUUAGUGUGCUAUUUGGACUUGGGAAGACGGUAUUUAGAUCCCUGGUUCCGCACUCGUACACUGAACGUUGGAUCCCUGGGCACCGCUUACCCAGGUCCUGAUGGGGAAUGGUCUUCCCCAACUCCAGGGGUCGUUCGAAGAACGCCAGGUGAAUCGAGCAUUAUCCUCAUGGACUGAUGUUGAGAAGAUCGACUUUUGUCGGGCGGCCAAGUUCACUCCUCGGCCAUUUGCUGUAUUUCUGUCGGGACAGAAUUCGUCCCCGCUUCCAAAACUUAAACCUAGCGCGUUAUCUUCCACCCUC
rnacentral:lncRNA from 1 species